rnacentral:misc_RNA from 1 species
GACAAGCUGACUCCAGCUGCAUUUGAGAAGCAUUCUGGAAGAGAGACAGCAAGAAAAUGGAAAAACAAUGUCUGGGUCAUAGUUAAUGGGGAGAAGGUUCCAUUAUCAAAAACUGUAUUGCUUAAGUACUACAGCCAAGCAUCAAAAAAUGCCAAUGGUUCCCAUAGAUCCCAUAAUGGACGAGUUUCUCAUCGUGAUGAGUUUGUUCGCUGUAGCAAGUGUAACAAGGAAAGGAGGUUCCGAUUACGGACCAA